UUCAGGUUCAACACGACAGAAAGAUCGAAAGCAAUAUGUUCUGAGUUCUGGGUUGGAGUUGGGAGCUGGGAAAAUAGGACAGAAAUCAAAAUUUAAGAAGAGAAGGUUUGGGAGUUUGGGAUAUAGGACGAGAGAGGUAUACGAGUAAAAACUAAGGAAUGAGAAUCUGUACCAUGAUCAAACCAUCAACCCUGGUUUAGGUUACGCUUGUUGCCCUCGUUGACUCUGUCUCUUAAACCCUGAUUCCGACAAAGCUGAAUGGGCAUUUACUUCAGUUUUACAUGAUGCUACUGUAGUGUUAUGAUGAGACGUCGUGCAAAAAGUACUCUUAAUCGAAGUGGUUAUAGAGUAAGAUCCAUGAGAGCUGAUUUACAUAUCGAGUCAUCAUCAAACCGAUAUAGCAUAAUCCACCAUAUGGGUCAACGUCAGCACAGAUGCAGUAUGAUCAACUAUAUUGGUCACCUCCAACAUUGAUGAUGGAUGAUCCAUCGACGGAGCAUGACGUCAAUCCAAGAUUAGCCAAUGAUCCACUAGUUGGAGAAAAAGAAGGGACAACAACUAGGCAGAGGACUAAGAGGCAAACAAAGGGUUACCAACUCCUACAAAUCCAAAGAAGUGAGUGUGGAUUACUCCGUUAGGAGAAAAGUAUUAAUUGUUUUCUUAUUGUUAUUUGUUUUUUAAUAAAUGCGUUCAAUUAAACUAAUCUUACUAACAAAUGGAUGUUGGUAGUUGUUUUGAGCAAUCAUUAGUUAACUCAACAAUUUUAGGAAUAAUUCAAGCGAAUUAUACUGAUUCUUGGCCAACAUGAGGAAAAAUAUCAGUGGGUUGAGUCGGAUGAUGAUCUUGUUCAAUGAACAUGGAACAAUAUUUCAAAAAAUAGAUUGAAAGACUUAUUGUUUGAUGAGAGAGAAUUGACAAUAAAAGAGCGUGGAGUUGAUAACAUCAUAGAUUGCAGAUGUAUGAAACAGAGAUGGAUCACAGCUCCGAUUUGGGAUACUCUUAUUAAGAAUGUAUGGAGCAUUCCCAAAUGACAAAACAUCUCCGCCGAAGCCAAACAAAAUGUGGAACACAAAAAGAAAGAAUUAUUACGAAGCACACUGGUGGAUCAGUUGCUUUUCCUGUUCAUAAAAAAAGAAUGUCACUUGAGUUGCAACGAGAACCCACCUUUACAGAACUUUUCAAUCGCGUUCACAGACGUUCAGGAGGAUGUAGUGAUUUUGUUGAUAAUAAGUCUAGAGUUGUUAGUUUAUAUGACUAUCCGAUGACUGGAUAAUUUAAAAUUGCUGCCUUUAUUGAAAUUGAUAAUAUCUUGUAUGUUUUUGUGAUGCUAAGACUUUGUGAGAAGUGAAAAUUAUUGCGUAAUUUACUUUGUGAUUGUGGUUGUGUAUUGUGAUUGUUGCUUAAAUAUCUUUAUAGUGUAUUGCGAUUAGAUGAUAUUUGUGAAAUGUAAAAAUUUUUGCGUAUUUUGAAAUAUGACGACGGUUGUGUACUAUGAUUGUUGAUCAACUAUCUUUAUCGUAUAUUAGUAUUUUACACUAGUCUGAUGGUUGUUUAUUGUGAUUAUCGAUGAACUAUGUUAAUAGUGUAUUAUGAUGACUAGUUAUUUGUAAAAGGUUUUUACGUAUCUAGAUAAGAUCAUAUUUUUGAAAGGUGAAAAUUAUUGUGUAUUUUCAUUUGUAAUUUUGUUUGUGUAUUGUGAUUCUUGAUGAAGUAUAUAGUGAAGUAAUUGAAGGCCAAAACAUUGUAAGAAAUCUUGUAUUUAACUAGAUAAUGUUUUAUGUAUAUUGAAAUGCAAUGACUUUGUAAAGUAUGUAACAAUCAAAUAUUGACGUUAUAAAUUGUUUGAAGUUGUGAUAUUUUAGUGAACUAUAUAGGUACUAUGGUAGUGAUUAUUGUUUUAAAAUUUUUGUAGAAAAACUAUGUUGUUGCAUUAUCUUAGAAAUACAGUGAAGACUGUUCCAAUCAUCUAGACUUUGAUCCACAAGCAUGGACUAAAGCUAUUGGAGGGGUUGAAGCUACACACACUAGUGUAUAUAGUUUUGGAUCAGCAAAUAGAUCUAGGGACCUUUUUCACUCAAUUCAGUUCAUUGCUGCAGCAGAAUCAUCUCACUUCGUUUAUGGUCCAUCACAUGUGCUUUCUCAAGCUCGUCAGCCUCAGAUAGACAAACGAAUUGAUAAGUUGAGGGCUAAGCUGAAGGCAGAGCUUAGGUUAUUCGUGGAUCAAAUGAUGCAGUUGAUGAAGUCUAGACUACCAUCACAAUUUUCCAAACUUGAUAACAACAACGAUGAUUAUGGAUUAAGAGGUGUAGUAGUAGCAUAGUGAUUUUUUUUUAUUAUUUUUUUGAUUUGAAUGAAGUAUUUGAUGAAUGUUAUUGAUGUUUUAUGGAUAGAUAUUUUAUGAUGUUUUAUGGAUGCUAUGGAUGUUCUAUGGAUCUUUGAUGAUGUAUUUGAUAGAUGCUUGAUGGAUAUUAUCUGGAUUUGAUAUUUUAAUUAAUAAUAAUAAAAUAUCUA